GCAAACUUGGUCAUUUAGAGGAAGUAAAAGUCGUAACAAGGUUUCCGUAGGUGAACCUGCGGAAGGAUCAUUACCGAGUUAGGGUGUCGCCUCGGCGCGCCCGACCUCCCAACCCUUUGUCUACUUACCAAACGUUGCUUCGGCAGGCCCGCCGACCCUCGCCGCCCCCCGGGCGAUGAGGUGAGGCCGCCGGGGGUCCCGCGACCCCGGGCCCGCGCCUGUCGAUGGCCCCAACCACAAAACUCUUGCAUUAACGUGUCGUCUGAGUUAUCAAACAAAAUUGAAAACCAAAACUUUCAACAACGGAUCUCUUGGUUCUGGCAUCGAUGAAGAACGCAGC
rnacentral:misc_RNA from 1 species